rnacentral:rRNA from 1 species
GACGAACGCUGGCGGCGGGCUUAACACAUGCAAGUCGAACGGAAAGGCCCUGCUUUUGUGGGGUGCUCGAGUGGCGAACGGGUGAGUAACACGUGAGUAACCUGCCCUUGACUUUGGGAUAACUUCAGGAAACUGGGGCUAAUACCGGAUAGGAGCUCCUGCUGCAUGGUGGGGGUUGGAAAGUCUCGGCGGUUGGGGCUGGACGCGCGGCUUAUCAGCUUGUUGGUGGGGGAGGGGCUUCCCAAGGGUUUGACGGGUAGCCGGCCCGAGAGGGUGAACGGGCACCAUGGGACUGCGGUAGGGCCCAGAGUCCUAUGUGGGGCAGCAGUGGGAAAUAUUGCACAGUGGGCGGACGCCUGAGGAAGCAACGCCGCGUGUGGGAUGACGGCCUUCGGGUUGUAAACAGCUUUCGCCUGUGACGAAGCGUGAGUGACGGUAAUGGGUAAAGAAGCACCGGCUAACUACGUG